rnacentral:rRNA from 1 species
CUACGGGCCGCACCAGUAGGGAAUAUUGCACAAUGGGCGAAAGCCUGAUGCAGCAACGCCGCGUGCGCGAUGAAGGCCUUCGGGUUGUAAAGCGCUUUUCUGAGGGAAGAGGAAGGACUGUACCUCAGGAAUAAGUCUCGGCUAACUACGUGCCAGCAGCCGCGGUAACACGUAGGAGGCAAGCGUUAUCCGGAUUUACUGGGCGUAAAGCGCGUGUAGGCGGUUUGGCAAGUCGGAUGUGAAAGCUCCUGGCUCAACUGGGAGAGGUCGUUCGAAACUGCCAGACUAGAGGACGGUAGAGGAAGAUGGAAUUCCCGGUGUAGUAGUGAAAUGCGUAGAUAUCGGGAGGAACACCAGUGGCGAAGGCGGUCUUCUGGGCCGUUCCUGACGCUGAGACGCGAAAGCAUGGGUAGCGAACGGGAUUAGAUACCCCGGUAGUC